rnacentral:rRNA from 1 species
CAGCAGCCGCGGGAAUACGUAAGUCCCGAGCGUUGUCCGGAUUUAUUGGGCGUAAAGCGAGCGCAGGCGGUUAGAUAAGUCUGAAGUUAAAGGCUGUGGCUUAACCAUAGUACGCUUUGGAAACUGUUUAACUUGAGUGCAAGAGGGGAGAGUGGAGUUCCAUGUGUAGCGGUGAAAUGCGUAGAUAUAUGGAGGAACACCGGUGGCGAAAGCGGCUCUCUGGCUUGUAACUGACGCUGAGGCUCGAAAGCGUGGGGAGCAAACAGGAUUAGAUACCCCUGUAGUCCCUGUCUCUUAUACA